ensembl:lncRNA
GGCGUCAGCGUGGGCUCCCCGGAGUAAGUCGCUAGGUAACCGAGCUCCGCAGACCGAGAAGUGGGGAAGCCCGAGCUGCUCGUCACCCUGAAGGCAGGAGGGGGCGCAGGAACCACCACUCUUCCGCGCCCUCCAUCUCCAACCAGGCACUCCAGGAUUGCCCCCAUCUCAGAUACGGGUGCACACACACACACACACACACACACACACACAAAGAAGCAUGCUCCCCAUCCCCACCUUCCUUCCGAUGCACUGACCUGUUCCAUUCCCCUACUCUUCUGGAGAGAAGGCAAGAGAGGACCUUCCACCUACUCUAUCCCCAUCCCAGGGAUCCCGACAUUGCAAACCACUCUCCCCAGCUGCUUGGCAGCCGCGGCUCUGCCAGUUCCCCCAACUUAGUUGGGCCCUCGGAAGCUGAGGUGGUCUCUCCUGCAUCUUUCGGUGCCUCUGCUGCUGCUGCUACCGCCGCCGCCGCCUUUGCCGCUACUGCUGUUGCUGUUGUUCUUGGCGUCGGUAAGAUGGUUCCCAAAUUCGUUUAAUGGAUGUGGGUUAUUGGCGCAACCCAGAGAAGCAACAAUACAAACUCGCUGCGUGGGAAAGUUUUCGGUGUUUUCUGAAGAUUGCCCGGUCAUCAGAAAAAUCUAGGAGCCCUCAUGGGUGAGGAUGGUUCUCCUAAGGUACUCUUCUUUGCCUUCUAAGGCCUCCCCGCCCACCCUUUCUCUAUCCACUUUAGGGUCUUAGUUAGUGCCUGGGCUUCAAUAAGGUCUUUCUCUUUUGCUUCUCCAAAGUCUGUGUGAUGACCCCAGAAGCUGGGCAUGAAGAUCCCCUGGGAACAGCAGGGAAAUGGUAGUGCUUACCUGAGAUUUCACUGGAGGAAAAACCUGUCCAGGAGAAGAAAAUGAAAUGAACUCUGGGGAUCUGGCACCCAGUGGCUGUCUGAAACCUACAGAAAACUUGUCCCUUUGUCCAGGAGAAUGGUGCUGAAGCUGCCUGCCCAAUUCACAGGAUACCUGGAUGCCAUGCUCAGCCCAAUGUCUGCAGAAUGCUCCCUGCCCCUCUCCUCUUCCUGAUGCACUGCAUGAUUAACCUAAGGAGGAGGAUAAAGAACUUGGCCACCAAGAUGGUAAUCACUAGUGGUAAUGAAGAAGACAGAGGCAGCCAAGAAAAGGAAAACAAAGAAGAAAGUAUCCUGGCAAUGCUAGGAAUUAUUGGGACCAUCCUAAACCUCAUUGUCAUCAUCUUUGUGUAUAUUUACACAACUUUGUGAAGGACAGAACAGAGAGGGAUCUUUCUGCUGAGACACUGCAGACUUCUGCAGGGAAAAGAAAUUGGUUCUGAAGUGAAGCCCAAACAUCAUAGCUGUCCACAUCCUGCAAGAUCAAAUGACCCUUUGAAGUCUUCAAACAGAUCAUCAACAGAACACACCAAUCUGCAGAUAGCAGACACAAAAGCACAAUGGAUUAAUGGGUGUAAGGAAUCACCAAAGCAGAAGCCUGAUGGGAUUUAUGAGGUCAAGCAGAACAGUGCAUUAACACAUCUAACAUAGGACUAUGUGAACACAGAUUGUGUCCUCUCAAAAAUCAACACUGUCUUCACCACUGGUCAAACUUUUUGAGCUUCUUUGUCCCAUAACUGAAGAAUUCAUAUAGUGGGAGUGAUUUUAGACCAAUUAUUUAUCAACAAUCCCAUUAAUACCACGAGUCUUAGGUUUGUUACUGAGAGGAUCGGGGGAGGGGGGGAGAAUAUUUUUUCUUUUUUUUUCUUUGGUCUGACAUAUAUAUCAGUUCAUGGUGGUAUUUACAAAUUUCUAUUUUUAAUAAAUGUGUUAUUUUUAUUAGCAUGGACCAAACAUCUAGAGAGAUCCCCUUGGAUGUCCAAAGUUUGAUUUGGUUUUCUGAAAUGAUCCCUUGAUGAUAUGUCCUUUCCUAUAGAAGUUAUGACUCUAUUUAUUGCCUCUUUAAUCUCUUUUACUUCUUUUGUUCCAAACCAUUUUAAAACAGUAUCAACCUCAGCCUUGAUUAGUGCAUGACUUCAGAUGAAGCAGUCUAUGGUGAGGCUUUUUAUGGAACUGUAAGAAAUAUAAAAAUAUUAUGGGCAUGCAGACCUGAGAUGCAUGCUAUUUUGACUGAAGAUUAUGCAUGAACAAGGUCUGUGUGAUGGGUCAAUCAGAAACAAACACUGAAGACUGCUGGAAGAAACAUGACUGUUUAAAGAUCCAAUCUUUAAUUGAUUUUUUUAAAGAAAGUACUCAUAUAACAUCUAAUUCUUAAUAGAGUUAUUUAUAAUUCCAUCAUCACAAUAACCAAUUUAUCAUAUCAUGAUUUAAAUUACAGAUACAUUGAGAUAAGUCAGUCAGAUAUAUCAGGACAUUGCAAGAAGAAUGGUAAAAAAGGAAAUAGGUUAAUUUUAAAAUAGAGAUAGUCAGCCAAAUCCUGCCAAUAAUCUCCCUAAGAGGUCUCUAAGCACCAUGGGGCAUAUAUUAACUCACUCAGGGGACCAUUUACAUAAAUGACUUCUCCAUUGCAUUAAAUGGUACCCACUAAUGCCCUGACAUAUAUUUGUAAAUUGCCUGAUUUCACAUCCCAGAAGUUUGUUCUCUGACAAAAUUUGGAUAUAUUGACAUUAAUUGCCCAAUCUCUCCUAGAAUACAUAAGAAUAUUCCAUAAGAAUGGCACUUCACUCUCACUUAAGACUGGCCUUCCAUAUAAGUGAAAUUAACAAUUAUUUACAUAGUAAAAUUUUUAGGGAGGAAAGACCUGCCCAAAAAUUAUUCAUCUAACAAAUGAAACACACCUACUAUUCUACCAUUGGAGAUAGUUUUUCUUUUGGAUUCUUACCCUAAUCUGGAUUUUUUUAAAAUACAAAUAUUCUUGGAAUUUUGACACAUAGAAGAGAUUGAACUAAAUAAUCUCUCACUCUAAGAUUCUGUAAUUCAGUCUUCAACUAAUUCAUUCUAAGGUAUAAAUGUCUUUUCUCCUAACAAAUCCUGGGUGAUGUAAAACAAACAAAACAAAACAAAACAACAAUAACAAAAAAAAGAAAUCCAACAUCUGGUACCUAGAACAAGAAAAGGUCCAGAAAGGGGAUAUGACAGGCUUAAAAGACAAGUUUCACCUACUUCGCAAUUUUACCAAGGGCUGACUCUUCUCACUCCAAACCAACCCAAACCCAGGGAACAAUAUGAAUAUUGAAUAGCAUGAAAAUCAGCAGCAGUAUUCAUAAAGACUGAUUAGGAAUAGGAUUGAAAGAGCAAAGGAGGGUCAUGUGAUAUGAUUAUGGAAAGUGUGUAAAAAUGCUAAUGGCAAACUACAGUAAAAAUAAAUAAAUAAAUAAAGGUGCAAUGGGAAAAAAAUAACUAUGCAUAUCAUUAUUUUUUUUUCCAACACAAGUCUCAUGUGAUAUUUUGAAGCCAGAUCAGCAACAU